rnacentral:rRNA from 1 species
CAUUUAGAGGAAGGAGAAGUCGUAACAAGGUUUCCGUAGGUGAACCUGCGGAAGGAUCAUUGUCGAGACCUGCCCAGCAGAAAGACCCGCGAAC